GGAAUGUUUGUCAAAUGAAAGAGUUGAAUCUGAGAAAUCCUUGUAUGCUUCUUCGUCUCAUAAAUCAAGACGUGUUAUUUUGGGUGAGAUAGCUUUGCGAUACAAGGGUAUAAACUUUGCAAAGCAACAGCUAGACCUUGGAUCCAAGCACUUCUCCUGUAUUAACAGUCGCGAUGUUUUGGAUACUUUAGUUAGCAAUGAGAGUGAUAUUGAAAGCUACAGCGACAAUGAAGACGAUGAUCUUUUUGAUGACAAUGGUUCUGAUGAUAAGAUCGAUGAUUGCUAAUGUUGCUAGUGAUAAAUGACUUGUUAUUAAACUUGUAUUUGUACUGUAUGAUAACAGAAUCCAGCUACAAUGAGUGGGUGCAACCAUGAAACCCCUGCCUUAGAGCAGCUAAUACGGGUCAUAAUUAUCAUUCCCGGGGGACUGGAAGCAUUGUUAUCCAUUACUGAUAUGAUCUGUUGCAAAAAACGGGGAAAACGCCAUAAAUUAUCAUUUGUAAUAUUAAAAAGUGAAACGUGCAUUUUGAAAAGUCCUUAAAUAUUCUUAUUAUGAUUUUUUCUUUUAUCUCAACAUUGCGCGAGGUUACACGUUUGUUUUGGUCUAGUGUUAUCUUUUAUUGUUGAUUUUUUUUUUGAAACGUUCUAUUCUUGUUACACAUAAAUCAGUUGUAAAAACCAUGGUGUAAAAUUAAAGUGCAAUUUUUCCUCGUUGUA